rnacentral:rRNA from 7 species
UGCUGGAGGUAUCAGAAGUGCGAAUGCUGACAUAAGUAACGAUAAAGCGGGUGAAAAGCCCGCUCGCCGGAAGACCAAGGGUUCCUGUCCAACGUUAAUCGGGGCAGGGUGAGUCGACCCCUAAGGCGAGGCCGAAAGGCGUAGUCGAUGGGAAACGGGUUAAUAUUCCCGUACUUGGUGUUACUGCGAAGGGGGGACGGAGAAGGCUAUGUUGGCCGGGCGACGGUUGUCCCGGUUUAAGCGUGUAGG